rnacentral:rRNA from 1 species
GCCAUAUUAGUUAGUUGGUAGGGUAAUGGCCUACCAAGACGAUGAUGUGUAGCUGGACUGAGAGGUUGAACAGCCACAUUGGGACUGAGACACGGCCCAAACUCCUACGGGAGGCAGCAGUAGGGAAUUUUCGGCAAUGGAGGAAACUCUGACCGAGCAACGCCGCGUGAAUGACGAAGUACUUCGGUAUGUAAAGUUCUUUUAUCGAGGAAGAAAAGCAAAUGGCGAACCAUUUGUUUGCCGGUACUUGAUGAAUAAGCCCCGGCUAAUUAUGUGCCAGCAGCCGCGGUAAGACAUAAGGGGCAAGUGUUAUCCGGAAUUAUUGGGCGUAAAGGGUGCGUAGGCGGUCUAGUAAGUCAGUGGUGUAAUGGCAACGCUUAACGUUGUCCGGCUAUUGAAACUGCUAAACUUGAGUUAGAUAGAGGCGAGUGGAAUUCCAUGUGUGGCGGUAAAAUGCGUAAAUAUAUGGAGGAACACCAGAGGCGUAGGCGGCUCGCUGGGUCUUAACUGACGCUGAGGCACGAAAGCGUGGGGAGCAAACAGGAUUAGAUACCCUGGUAGUCCACGCCGUAAACGAUGAGUACUAAGUGUCGGGUUAAACCGGUACUGAAGUUAACACAUUAAGUACUCCGCCUGAGUAGUACGUACGCAAGUAUGAAACUUAAAGGAAUUGACGGGACUCCGCACAAGCGGUGGAUCAUGUUGUUUAAUUCGAAGAUACCCGAAAAACCUUACCAGGUCUUGACAUGUUUUUGCAAAAUGAUAGUAAUAUCGUGGAGGUUACCAGAAACACAGGUGGUGCAUGGUUGUCGUCAGCUCGUGUCGUGAGAUGUUAGGUUAAGUCCUAAAACGAGCGAAACCCUUAUCGUUAGUUGCCAGCACGUUAUGGUGGGGACUUUAACGAGACUGCCAAUGAUAAAUUGGAGGAAGGUGAGGAUCACGUCAAAUCAGCAUGCCCCUUAUGACCUGGGCUACAAACGUGAUACAAUGGCUGUUACAAAGGGUAGCUGAAACGCAAGUUCUUGGCCAAUCCCCAAAAACAGUCCCAGUCCGGAUUGAAGUCUGCAACUCGACUUCAUGAAGUUGGAAUCGCUAGUAAUCGCGAAUCAGCAUGUCGCGGUGAAUACGUUCUCGGGGUUUGUACACACCGCCCGUCAAACCACGAAAGUUGGCAAUACCCCAAAACGGUAGCCUAACUCGUUUAUUCGAGAGGGCGCCGUCUAAGGUAGGGUCGAUGAUUGAGGUUAAGUCAUAACAAGGUAUCCCUACCGGAAGGUGGGGAUGGAUCACCUCCUUUCUAAGGAAACCAAUAAAAUCAAUCAUCUUCAGUUUUGAAAGACUUAGGCAACUAAGUUUUUCUUCGUGACUUCACGAAGGGC